ACGAGUUCUCGUUGAUGAUCGGUGCUUGCACUGAGAUUCAACAUCGAACGAGUGGCGGACGGGUGAGUAACACGUGGGUAACCUGCCCUUAAGUGGGGGAUAACAUUUGGAAACAGAUGCUAAUACCGCAUAGAUCCAAGAACCGCAUGGUUCUUGGCUGAAAGAUGGCGUAAGCUAUCGCUUUUGGAUGGACCCGCGGCGUAUUAGCUAGUUGGUGAGGUAAUGGCUCACCAAGGCGAUGAUACGUAGCCGAACUGAGAGGUUGAUCGGCCACAUUGGGACUGAGACACGGCCCAAACUCCUACGGGAGGCAGCAGUAGGGAAUCUUCCACAAUGGACGCAAGUCUGAUGGAGCAACGCCGCGUGAGUGAAGAAGGCUUUCGGGUCGUAAAACUCUGUUGUUGGAGAAGAAUGGUCGGCAGAGUAACUGUUGUCGGCGUGACGGUAUCCAACCAGAAAGCCACGGCUAACUACGUGCCAGCAGCCGCGGUAAUACGUAGGUGGCAAGCGUUAUCCGGAUUCAUUGGGCGUAAAGCGAGCGCAGGCGGUUUUUUAAGUCUGAUGUGAAAGCCCUCGGCUUAACCGAGGAAGCGCAUCGGAAACUGGGAAACUUGAGUGCAGAAGAGGACAGUGGAACUCCAUGUGUAGCGGUGAAAUGCGUAGAUAUAUGGAAGAACACCAGUGGCGAAGGCGGCUGUCUGGUCUGUAACUGACGCUGAGGCUCGAAAGCAUGGGUAGCGAACAGGAUUAGAUACCCUGGUAGUCCAUGCCGUAAAC
rnacentral:rRNA from 1 species